CCUCCUCCGAGUGCCGUUUCGGUUUAACCUAGUGUGGGAUUGAGUCUGUGAGGGAGCGAUUGAGUGUGUGAGGUACUGAGGUGAGGCGGAGGCAAGAAAAGGAACUCCCUCAGGAGCGAAGGACAAAGGGUGUGUGAGGCACCUAGGCCGCGGGACCUGAGCGACAGGAAGCCACUCCAAGUCGGGCUACCGGUAGGGGAAAGGCCCGUGCGGUCCUCAUUGGGCUCCCGAGCCGGAGUCGGCCCCGCAGCCCUGGGCCGUCGGCUUCCUACUUCCUCGACCUCGCCGGCCCCUGUGCCUGAGGAUUGGCGCCGCGUGGGGAGGAGGGCAAACGGACUUGAGCAGCUGCUCGUUGUCUCGCAACCCCACUGCUGAGGAACUCUCGUUUCUUCCCUGGCUCCUUCACCCCUACCUCAUGUAGGAGGGUGCCGAGGAGUCGGGAGGGAGGAGGGGCCUGCGCCGCGGUCCCUUCCCUCCCCACCCCCUGCUAGGGGUGCUGUGGUAGGCGUGGGGUUGGGAUUGGGGGGAGGGUGGGGGUUACUUUUUGGAGUGCUGGGGAACUUUUCCCCCUGUUGAAGCCAGGGGAAAGGGGAUGCCCAACCCAGAGAGACAUGGGGGCAAGAAGGACGGGAGCGGAGGAGCUUCUGGAACUUUGCAGCCGUCAUCGGGAGGUGGCAGCUCCAACAGCAGAGAGCGUCACCGCUUGGCGGCGAAGCACAAGCGGCACAAGUCCAAGCACUCCAAAGACAUGGGUUUGGUGACCCCCGAAGCAGCACCUUUGGGGACAAUUAUCAAACCUUUGGUGGAGUAUGAUGACAUCAGCUCUGAUUCAGAUACCUUCUCUGACGACAUGGCCUUCAAAUUAGAUAAGAGGGAGAAUGAUGAACGUCGUGGAACUGAUCGGAGUGACCGCUUGCACAGACAUCGUCACCACCAGCACAGACGUUCCCGGGACUUACUAAAAAGUAAACAGACAGAAAAAGAAAAAAAACAGGAAGUUUCCAGUAAGUCGGGAUCAAUGAAGGACCGGAUAUCAGGAAGUUCAAAGCGUUCAAAUGAGGAGAAUGAUGACUAUGGGAAGGCACAGAUCUCAAAAAGCAGCAGCAACAAGGAAUCCAGGUCAUCCAAACUCCACAAGGAGAAGACUCGGAAAGAACGUGAGUUGAAGUCUGGGCACAAAGACCGGAGUAAAAGUCAUCGGAAAAGGGAAACACCCAAAAGUUACAAGACAGUGGACAGCCCCAAACGGAGAUCCAGGAGUCCGCACAGGAAAUGGUCUGACAGCCCCAAGCAAGAUGAUAGCCCCUCAGGAGCUUCUUAUGGCCAAGAUUAUGACCUUAGUCCUCCAAGAUCUCACACCUCCAGCAAUUAUGACUCCUACAAGAAGAGUCCUGGAAGCACCUCAAGAAGGCAGUCUAUUAGUCCACCUUACAAGGAGCCUUCAGCCUACCAGUCCAGCACCCGGUCACCCAGUCCCUACAGUAGACGACAGAGAUCUGUGAGUCCCUAUAGCCGGCGACGUUCCUCAAGCUAUGAAAGGAGUGGCUCUUACAGUGGGAGAUCACCCAGUCCCUAUGGUCGAAGGCGAUCCAGCAGCCCUUUCACCAGCAAACGGUCUCUGAGUCGGAGUCCGCUCCCCAGGAAGUCCAUGAAGUCUAGAAGUAGAAGUCCUGCAUAUUCAAGACAUUCAUCUUCUCAUAGUAAAAAGAAGAGAUCCGGGUCACGUAGUCGACAUUCCAGUAUCUCACCUGUCCGACUUCCAUUGAACUCCAGCUUGGGAGCUGAACUCAGUAGGAAAAAGAAGGAAAGAGCAGCUGCUGCAGCAGCAGCAAAAAUGGAUGGAAAGGAAUCCAAGGGUUCACCUAUUAUUUUGACUAGAAAAGAGAACAGUUCAGUAGAAGCUAAGGAUUCAGGUUUGGAGUCUAAAAAGUUACCCAGAGUUUUAAAAUUGGAAAAAUCUGCCCCAGAUACUGAACUAGCGAAUGUAACACAUCUAAACAUAGAAGCCAAAAAUUCUUUAGAUACAGGGAAAGUAAAGGUGGAUGAGAACUCUGAAAAGCAUCCUGUUCUUAAAGAUUUGAAAGUACAGGGAUCAAAAGACACUAAACCCAUGGCAUUGAAGGAGGAGAUUGUUACUCCAAAAGAGACAGAGACAACAGAAAAGGAGACCCUUCCACCUCUCCCCACAGUUACUUCUCCUCCACCUCCUUUACCAACUACUACCCCUCCACCCCAAACGCCCCCUUUGCCACCUUUGCCUCCACUACCAGCUAUUCCACAGCAACCACCUCUGCCUCCUCCCCAGCCAGCAUUUAGUCAGGUUCCUGCUUCUAGUCCUUCAACUUUGCCCCCUUCUGCCCACUCAAGGACGUCUACUCUGUCCUCUCAGGCAAAUUCUCAGCCCUCUGUACAGGUUUCUAUGAAGACUCAAGUGUCUGUAACAGCUGCUAUUCCACACCUAAAAACGUCAACGUUGCCUCCUCUGCCCCUUCCACCCUUAUUACUUGGAGAAGAUGACAUGGAUAGUCCAAAAGAAACUCUGCCUUCAAAACCCGUAAAGAAAGAGAAGGAACAAAGGCCACGUCACUUACUCACGGACCUCCCUCUCCCUCCAGAACUCCCUGGUGGGGAUCCAUCUCCACCUGACUCUCCAGAACCAAAGGCAAUCACACCACCUCAGCAACCAUAUAAAAAGAGACCAAAAAUUUGUUGUCCUCGUUAUGGAGAAAGAAGACAGACAGAAAGUGAUUGGGGGAAACGCUGUGUGGACAAGUUUGACAUUAUUGGGAUUAUUGGAGAGGGAACCUAUGGCCAAGUAUAUAAAGCCAAGGACAAAGACACAGGAGAGCUAGUGGCCCUGAAGAAGGUGAGACUAGACAAUGAGAAAGAAGGCUUCCCAAUCACAGCCAUUCGUGAGAUCAAAAUCCUUCGGCAGCUAAUCCACCGAAGUGUUGUUAACAUGAAGGAAAUUGUCACAGAUAAGCAAGAUGCACUGGAUUUCAAGAAGGACAAAGGUGCCUUUUAUCUUGUAUUUGAGUAUAUGGACCAUGACUUAAUGGGACUGCUAGAAUCUGGUUUGGUGCACUUUUCUGAGGAUCAUAUCAAGUCAUUCAUGAAACAACUAAUGGAAGGAUUGGAUUACUGUCACAAAAAGAAUUUCCUGCAUCGGGAUAUUAAAUGUUCUAACAUUUUGCUGAACAACAGUGGGCAAAUCAAGCUAGCAGAUUUUGGACUUGCUCGGCUCUAUAACUCUGAAGAGAGUCGCCCUUAUACAAACAAAGUCAUUACUCUGUGGUACCGACCUCCAGAACUUCUGCUGGGAGAGGAGCGUUACACACCAGCCAUAGAUGUUUGGAGCUGUGGAUGCAUCCUUGGGGAACUGUUCACAAAGAAGCCUAUUUUUCAAGCUAAUCUGGAGUUGGCGCAGCUAGAACUGAUCAGUCGACUCUGUGGUAGCCCUUGUCCAGCUGUGUGGCCUGAUGUUAUCAAGCUGCCUUACUUCAAUACCAUGAAACCGAAGAAGCAAUAUAGAAGGCGUCUACGAGAAGAAUUCUCUUUCAUUCCUUCAGCAGCACUUGAUUUACUGGACCACAUGCUGACGCUAGAUCCUAACAAACGUUGCACAGCUGAGCAGACCCUACAGAGUGACUUCCUUAAAGAUGUUGACCCCAGCAAAAUGGAUCCUCCAGACCUCCCCCACUGGCAGGAUUGUCAUGAAUUAUGGAGUAAGAAACGGCGGCGGCAGCGACAAAGUGGUGUUGUGGUAGAAGAACCACCUCCAUCCAAAGCCUCUCGAAAAGAAACUACCUCAGGGACAGGUGCUGAGCCUGUGAAGAACAAUAGCCCAGCACCACCACAGCCUGCUCCUGUCAAGGUGGAGCCUGUGGCUGGGGAUACAAUAGGCCUCGGUGAUAUCACACAACAAUUGAAUCAAAGUGAAUUGGCAGUAUUAUUAAAUCUGCUGCAGAGCCAAACUGACCUGAGCAUCCCUCAAAUGGUACAGCUGCUUAACAUCCACUCCAACCCUGAGAUACAGCAGCAGCUGGAGGCCCUGAACCAAUCUAUCAGUGCCCUAACAGAAGCCACUUCCCAGCAGCAGGACUCAGAACCCAUGGCCCCAGAGGAAUCUGUGAAGGAGGCACACCCAGCUUCAGUGGUCCAGCCUUCAGCAGAACAAAAGACCCCUGAAGCUUCAAGCACACCAGCUGACAUGCAGAAUAUGUUGGCAGUUAUCUUGAGUCAGCUGAUGAAAACCCAGGAGCCAGCAGGCAACCUGGAGGAAAACAACAGUGACAAGAACAGUGGGCUACAGGGGCCCCGAAGAACUCCCACAAUGCCACAGGAGGAGGCAGCAGCAUGUCCUCCUCACAUUCUUCCACCAGAGAAGAGGCCCCCUGAGCCCCCCGGACCUCCACCGCCGCCACCUCCACCCCCUCUGGUUGAAGGCGAUCUUUCCAGCGUCCCCCAGGAGUUGAACCCAGCCGUGACAGCCGCCUUGCUGCAACUUUUAUCCCAGCCUGAAGCAGAGCCUCCUGGCCACCUGCCACAUGAGCACCAGGCCUUGAGACCAAUGGAAUACUCUACCCGACCCCAUCCCAACAGGACUUACGGAAACACUGAUGGGCCUGAAACAGGGUUCAGUGCCACUGACACUGAUGAACGCAACUCUGGUCCAGCCUUGACAGAAUCCUUGGCCCAGACCCUGGUGGCUGUAGCAGCAGGAGGGAUGGCCCCUGAGGAAUUUGGCGAAGUCCAUCAGUCACCUGAUAACCGGAGCCCUGGCAAAUUCAGUGUCUUUCACAGACUCAAGCCAGGCCAGCUUGGCAGUGUGCAUGUUCGCCAUCCUUUCUGAAUCGGGAACGAUAGGGUGCUAUAUUUGAGAUCACAACAGCAGGAGGGGCCAGAAGAUGGACCAAGAGAACCAGCCAUGCCUUUGAGCACAGUGCCAGAGGCCUCCUUGUUCCAGCAAAGCCCUCCUUAUCAUCCACCUCCCUUCAUUCAACUCCACUCCUGGCCAUUUCAUCCCCUCCAAUCUAAGGACGUGGGAAGAACAAGGCUGAAGUGGACGGAGCCCACAGGCCAUCUGCCCACAGACCCGAGACCUGGAAUGGGAAAGGGAGGAUCCACCCUUUCGUUGUCUGUCAGAGAAUGAGGAGGCAAGAUACAGCUUGGAAAUAUGAAGUUGCAUAUGUCUCUUGCCAGGUCCAAGGAAAAUGAGGCCUAUGGCAACAAGUGAGCACUCUAUUCUGGAGGAGUAAGGGAGAUGUAGCACCUUUUUAGUUGGUUGUGGUGAGGGGAACUACAGUUCAUUUCCACAUGUACUACAUCUUGGGCAGUCUCAGUGUCUGGAACAAGGUACAGGGGGCAAACAGAGUGGGAGCUAACAUGCCAGUCCAGUGUUUAGUCCUGACUUCACCACUGCUCUUCCCCUCCAGCUAAGUCAGGAGUUGUAGAAAUCAUUUAGUCUGUCCCUGAGCCUCUGGUCACUGGUUGAAGCUGACAGGUAGAAACCUGAGUUGGCCCAGACGUGAUGGAUGGUAGAGAUGCCAACUUGUAGGAGAGAAGGUUUGGCUCCUCUCUUAGGAGCUGUAUCUGGCCAAAGGCUGCCUCCUCCCACUUCUUGCUGGAACUGGCUCUUUUGUAUUUGAUGUUACUAUUGCUCCCUUGGCCUAGUCCAGUGAUUGUGGACUCAUAAUAAUUUCCCUAUCUACUUAUGGCUCCAGAACCAGGCUGACUGCACAGUACUCUUCUCCAUCUCCCUUGGCCCAUCAAAAAUGGCCCAUGUUCUUACGGUGGCGCCCGCCAUCCUUACCAAUAGUUCCAGCCAUGGGAGGAAAACACGAGGCCUUCAGGAUUUAUGGGGACUAUACUGCAUUGAAACAACCAGAGAUAUCCAUUCUGCAUCUGCCUGUUGGUUGGAAGUUCUUAGACACAAGGGAGACCACUCUUACCAGCUCUUACCCCCUCUGAGAUUUCCUGACUGUCGGAGGUCCUGACGCGGCUGGGAGACAGCUCUCUUCCCUUGCGGCCAAAAUGGCUCCUAACCAGGAAAUCUCAGGACCCCUGCUUACUCUCUUUCUUUGGCUGCCUCUCUACUCCGGGUCCCCUUCUCUCCUGUCACCACUCUCUUCCCAUUCCUCCUUUCUCCUCUCUCUCUCAGCAAGUUUUUUAUGUGAUUACAGGCACUGCAUGGUAAUUAGUGCUAAACUCAUUUGCACAACUACAGUUAAUUGGCUACAACAAUUAAUUAAUGUGUUGGAAAUUUGGCACUGGAAAAAAAAGUUUGUCAUCAAAAUAAGGGCAAAAAAUUGUAGAGUAAGGUACCCAUAAAAAUCGAGGGCAGGCUUCAAAAGCCCAGCUGGGCCUCAGACUUCAGGCUGGCCUUAGAUGCCUUCCCACUUCCAACUUCAACACAU